UACAGAGACUGCAAGCGUUAUUCGGAUUCACUGGGCGUAAAGGGUGCGCAGGUGGUCGUGUGUGUCAGAUGUGAAAUCCCGGGGCUUAACUCCGGAACUGCGUCUGAAACUGCACGACUAGAGCAUUGGAGAGGGUAGUGGAAUUCACGGUGUAGCAGUGAAAUGCGUAGAUAUUGGGAGGAACACCAGUGGCGAAGGCGGCUCACUGGACCGGUACUGACGCUGAUGCGCGAAAGCGUGGGGAGCAAACGGG
rnacentral:rRNA from 1 species